rnacentral:rRNA from 1 species
CCUAUGCUCGAAUACAUUAGCAUGGAAUAAUAGAAUAGGACGUGUGGUUCUAUUUUGUUGGUUUCUAGGACCGCCGUAAUGAUUAAUAGGGACAGUCGGGGGCAUCAGUAUUCAAUUGUCAGAGGUGAAAUUCUUGGAUCUAUUGAAGACUAACUACUGCGAAAGCAUUUGCCAAGGAUGUUUUCAUUGAUAAGGAACGAAAGUUAGGGGAUCGAAGACGAUCAGAUACCGUCGUAGUCUUAACUAUAAACUAUGCCGACUAGGGAUCGGACGAUGUUAUUCUUUGACGCGUUCGGCACCUUUCGAGAAAUCAAAGUGCUUGGGCUCCAGGGGGAGUAUGGUCGCAAGGCUGAAACUUAAAGAAAUUGACGGAAGGGCACCACCAGGGGUGGAACCUGCGGCUUAAUUUGACUCAACA